ACGAUGUGGGAUCAUGAUGCUUAUAGCUGUCUAUAAUGGCGUUCAUUCCAAUGAAAAGCUUUAGAAUAGCUAGCUAUGGUACAGUCUGAAAGAAGAGUAACAAAUUAGAACAUAACCAUGUGCUGCUGCUGUUGUGAGGACUGUAACUUCCGGCCUCUCGGCUUUCUUCUCGGCCUGCCAUUCGCCUUCCUCGCCCUCUUUGUUGGAUUUGUCGGUAUUAUUAUUUGGAUCUUUGGAUCGGUGCUCAGUUGCAUAUGUCCUUGCUGCUUGUGUGUGACUGUGGCAGUUGAAUUUGCAUUGGCUUUGAUCAAUGUUCCAAUUCUUGUCAUGAAAUGGUUCACGUCCAAAAUCCCAUGUUAGGAUGCCUUGCUUGAUGAAUAUACAAGAAACAUUUAUCAAAUAUGUAUCAGAUAUUAAUAACUUGAUUGGCCAACUAGCAUGUUCAGUCAAUCAAGGUAUUACUAGCCUUCUUUGUUGGUUGAUAUGUUUUAGUUCUCAUAUUGCAAUGCUUGAAAUCUAAGAGACAAUAAUAGAAAACAUAUCUAGUUCUGGAUAAUUGGUUGAUUUUUCCUUUUCUAAGUUCAACUAUUCUAGAGAUUAAAUUAUUGACAUUUGAGAUCAAAUCUAACCAGUCAUUUGAAGGAGAAAGACUGAGUGCUAAAUAUUGUCAAGAACGAAAAAGAUCAAGAACUUAAGGACCGGAUUAUUCGGUGUGCAAUCUACUAUAGGACCGUUCUAUGAAUCCGAAAUCCCCGAAAAUACAGCAGUUCACUUGGUUGAUCAGUUCUAAACUCCAAUCGUCCCCUGCACCACUGCCAGAAGUUCAGCUAAAGCCUGUAUUGCAGCUUCCUCCUCCUCAUCUGCUGUCUAAGUCAGUUCUGCCACCGCUGCCAUCCAAAGAAAAGAGGUCGAUCUGGCCGAGAGUUGGCGGAAUUCUACCACUCUUUGAGACGGAGAGACUCCCGGGAAGACUGCAGCUCCGCCACGAUCAUGACACGAUCAGGCAGAUAAAAAUGGUCGCAGAAACCAAAGGAGAUUACUUAAAGCAUCUGAUCAAAGAAGUUGGGAAUGCAGAAUUUACUGAGGAUGAUGCUGUGACUUCUGUUACCUGGUAUCAUUGUACCUUUCUUUCUUCUUCAUUACUGUCCCCAACUCACCAUAUGUAUAUUGUUGUUAGGAGUGGAAACAAAAUUCCACAUUGGCUAGGGAAGAAAUCGAUCAUGGAUAUAGAAUGAAGACAAUUGUUUCCAUCUCUAUACAAGGUCUUUUGGAGAAACCAAAAUAAAAGCCACUAGGACAUAUGUGGAAAAUGGAGUUAGAAAGGCUCUUUAAGUUCAGAAAUAUAUUGUGAGAUCCCACGUCGUUUGGAGAGGGGAAUGAAACAAUCUUAUAAAAGUGU